UUGCAACCUGAACUCAGGCGUGAUUACCCGCUGAACUUAAGCAUAUCAUUUAGCGGAGGAAAAGAAACUAACAAGGAUUCCCCUAGUAACGGCGAGUGAACGGGGAGAAGCCCAGCGCUGAAUCUUUCGGUGUUACACCGUUAAGAAAUGUAGCGUAUAGGUGUGGUUUUCAGUUUGUGCUACUUAUCCAAAGUCCCUUUGAUAGGGGCCACAUUCCCGAGAGGGUGCGAGACCUGUGCGGAUAGUGGAGCAAGCUGUACGAUCAUACCUUGGAGUCGGGUUGCUUGAAAGUGCAGCCUAAAGUGGGUGAUAAACUUCAUCUAAGGCUAAAUAUAGACGCGAAUUCGAUAGCAAACAAGUACUGUGAAGGAAAGUUGCAAAGAACUUUGAAGAGAGAGUUCAAGAGAACGUGAAAUCGCUGGAGUGGAAACGGAGAGUUGACGUAGUCCGGUGACUAAGUUUGCCGAAAUCGCUUAAUUGUGAUUAAGGUGAAUGUAUGUUGCCUAUGGCUGCGCUGACAGCACUGGUUGUACGUUCCGAACCGUUUUCGUUGCCCAAUUUUCGAAUUGGUGUCUUGUUUACGGGUAGGUUUGUUAUGACUAGUGUUUUAUCCUGUUUUAUGCAGGGUGUCAGUGUGAAGGUCGACCACCUCUCCGACCCGUCUUGAAACACGGACCGAGGAGUGUAACUUGUACGCGAGUCAAAGGUGGAAAACCCCAAGGCGCAAUGAAAGUAAAGGUCGGUUAACCGACUGACAUGGGAUCCGUUUCGUUUUGAAGCGGCGCACCAUGGCCCUGUCUUGUCUGCUUGCAGAUGGGCAGCGGUAGAGCGUACAGGUUGCGACCCGAAAGAUGGUGAACUAUGCCUGAGCAGGACGAAGUCAGAGGAAACUCUGGUGGAAGUCCGUAUCGGUUCUGACGUGCAAAUCGAUCGAUAGACUUGGGUAUAGGGGCGAAAGACUAAUCGAACCAUCUAGUAGCUGGUUCCUCCGAAGUUUCCCAGGAUAGCUGGAGUUCAUUGCGGUUAUAUCCGGUAAAGCGAAUGAUUAGAGGACUUGGGGUCGAAACGACCUCAACCUAUUCUCAAACUUUCAAUGGGUAUGUUGUCUCGGUUUCUUUGUUGAACUGUUGACACGAACGCGAACUCCAAGUGGGCCAUUUUGGUAAGCAGAACUGGCGCUGUGGGAUGAACCAAACGUUGGGUUAAGGUGCCUAACUUUUCGCUCAUGAGACCCCAUAAAAGGCGUUGGUUGAUAUAGACAGCAGGACGGUGGCCAUGGAAGUCGGUACCCGCUAAGGAGUGUGUAACAACUCACCUGCCGAAUCAACUAGCCCUGAAAAUGGAUGGCGCUUGAGCGAGACCUAUACCCAACCGUUGCUGGCUUGUGCGUGCCUGUCGCCUGGCUGCAACGAGUAGGAGGGUCGUGGCGGUUGCGUCGAAGGUUUUGGGCGUAGGCCCAACUGGAGCUUCCGUCAGUGCAGAUCUCGGUGGUAGUAGCAAAUAUUUAAGUUCGAUCCUUGAAGACUGAAGUGGAGAAGGGUUCCACGUGAACAGUAGUUGAAUGUGGGUCAGUCGAUCCUAAGAUACUGGCUUAUGCCUUGUAUCAUCGAGAGGGAAAAGUCUCUUUUCUCUCGGAUAUCAAAAGGGAAUAGGGUUAAUAUUCCCUAACGCAGACACAGAGAUUGUGGCUCUUACGAGUCACUUGCGCGGUAACGCAUUCGAACUUGGUUACGUCGCUCAGAGACCGAGCUAGAGUUUCUCUAGUUAAGGAACGGACUCCUGGAAUCGGUUCAGCCGUAGAUAGGGACGUUGUUUCCGUAAAGCAUCGCGGUUUCUGUGAUGUCUCGUGUUCUCUGGACGGCCCUUGAAAAACCAAGGAGGCUAUUAAUCUGUGCUGCAUCGUACCGAUAUCCGCAUCAGGUCUCCAAGGUGAACAGCCUCUAGUCGAUAGAAUAAUGUAGGUAGGGAAGUCGGCAAAUUAGAUCCGUAACUUCGGGAAAAGGAUUGGCUCCAGUGACCGGGUCGGUUGGCUUGUUAACUGAUGCUUGUGCGGUUUCGUCCGUGGCUGGCUGAUACUAACGUUGAUGCUGGACUAGUGACAUGACUGCCUUGUGGACGUUUUGUGUGCUUUGUCUUCGGACUUAGUAUCCUGAUCGACCAUCAAAACGGUCGAACUGGAACUGGUACGGACUCGGGGAAUCCGACUGUCUAAUUAAAACAGAGGAGACAGAUGGUCCUUGCGGACGUUUACUGUCUCUGAUUUCUGCCCAGUGCUCUGAAUGUUAAAUCGUAGUAAUUCGAGUAAGCGCGGGUAAACGGCGGGAGUAACUAUGACUCUCUUAAGGUAGCCAAAUGCCUCGUCAGCUAACUACUGACGCAUGGUGGCAGGAGAACGGUUCCAGUAAUCACUAACCGCCACCGGUAACAGGCUCUCGUAGUCUGGCAAAGUUUCUCCAGUUACCGUAGCUUGUUGCGAACGGCCUGCGGGCGUCUUCGUAGCGGUAGCAAACUUUAAAGCGAACUUAGAGAGGAUGGUUACAUCCUACAGUGUUUUAUCAAACCUCGAUUCCAAUGAUCCUAGCAACGGACCAAGCGUCCUACAGGUAAGGAAGAGAGGUAAUGAGUGGCUCGCUUGCGAGUUGCUCAAGCUAUCACAGCUGAUCCCUCGGUUCACUGUGAAUGGCAGGUUCGUUGGCAACCACUCUAUCACGAGUGGGAGCGUACUCGCGAACCUGAGCAGGUACGGAGAACAGUAUGUGGACUUCAGUACGCAUACUGAAGUACCUGAAGGGUGGUCGUAGUACUGCGGGGGCUAGUUGUCCGCAGGAACCGUCGCCCGAGGCCUCUG
rnacentral:rRNA from 1 species